CUGCUGCCUUCCGUAGGAGUCUGGGCCGUGUCUCAGUCCCAAUGUGGCCGGCCAACCUCUCAGUCCGGCUACUGAUCGUCGCCUUGGUGGGCCGUUACCCCGCCAACCAGCUAAUCAGACGCGAGCUCAUCUCAGAGCGAUAAAUCUUUGGCGUCCAGAGAGAUGCCUCCCAGACGCGUCAUGCGGUAUUAGCGGCUGUUUCCAGCCGUUAUUCCCCACUCCAAGGCAGAUUGCUCACG
rnacentral:rRNA from 1 species